GAGGCAAAGAGAAGUUGCGGGAGAAACAACAAACGAGAUCAUUAUGUAAAAAAAUUCCGGCCAUGAUUCGACAUAUCGGUGGUAGGGUUUUCUUCCUCUCUUCCUCCUCUUCAAUUUUGUGGCUUUGCGUGUUCAAAUCGAGCUCUAAUUUGAAUUCUCUCUUUUCUCUAUCUGGUCGGGAUUCUUCUGCUCUUUUUCCGGCGACCUGAGUUUUUGGCGUUUCCGGCCUCUCCUCUAUGUUUCGACGGGCUAGGCUACUUCCUGGUGGACCCGACAACCGAGUGGAGGAGGUGAGUGGAGUUUGGUUACGGAUGGAGUUUAUCGGGUCGGGACUGUGAGAGGCAGAGGGCUGCAGGUCGGAAUCCGGCGAGGAAGUUACUGCCGGCUAGAGGGGUUUGGUUACUCGGUUGAAGGUAAUCUCUCUUGCUUUUGGAAUUGAAGGAUUGUAAAGGCUGUGGUGAUCCUCUAGGACAGCAGAGAUCACCUCUUGGCAAGGUGUCGAGUCUGAAAGGUGUUAGGAACGGGAGCAGAAGAAGAGCUUGAUCAUGGAGCAGAGGUUGUUGCCAAAAUCAAUUUGGGUGCGGAAUUUCGAAAGCAAGAAUUAGGGAAAGGAAUGUUGGAUGAGCCAAGGAAGUGUAAUUGUAGCAAAGGUUGUUUGUGAGAGUAAAGAGUAAAUUCUUGGGUGUAGAGAGUAAUCUGGUUG